UUCAAGUAAUCCAGGAUAGGCUGUGCCCCCCCCGGCCUGUCCUCCGUUACUUGGGGU
rnacentral:pre_miRNA from 1 species